GUCCACCUUUCAGCAGUUAAGAAUAAUGCUGCCGUGAACAUGGGUGUUCAAAUACCUCUUCAGGAUCCUGCUUCUAACUCUUUUGGGCAUAUACCCAGGGCAUGUGCUAUAUACUGUCUCAUCUUUGGAGGGGGUUUGGGAAUCACAUGGCCGGAGAAUUUCUAAAGACCCUUGCAGCUGUGACAUAUGACUUCAGUGAUUAAGAGACUAACCUGGAGUCUGACUGAUUUCAGUUAAAUUCCUGGUUGCCAGUCACCAGCACCACCUCAGUUUCAUCCCGUAAAGGAGGGUAAUGGCGCCUACCCCAGGACUCCUGCAUGAAUCGUCCGCUCCUUCAGCCUGACUGUUCUUCUCGCAGUGGAAGAGGGACUUAGAACUUUCCCACAGACGAGGAAAUUGAGACUUAGAGAAGCAAACUUCCCAUAAACGAUCUGGGCCCAGGCGUUCCACUUGCCCCAGGUUCAUAGGUGCACCGGGGGAUGACCGUGCCACGUGACAGCCCCAGCCUGGAGCAGGAGACCUGGUUCUACCACUGAGAGGUAACUGGAGGGCGAACUUCUGUGUGCACCAGGACGCACUCUUGAGUGACGCCCGAGGGUGUGGGGCACCAGGUUCUGCUGCGUACUAGUUGUGUUGGCCUUGGGCAAGUGACUGCACCUGUCUGUGAAGCUGCUGGUAUGGAAAGCAUGUAUGAAAGUAAAAAUCGACGGCACAAUAUGGCUAAGUAUUAAAUGAGCUAAUUGAUAGGAAACCCACUUAGAACGAUGCCCAGAACCCAGCAAGCUCUCAAUAAAUGUUACGGCUACAGCUGCUGCUAUUAUUAUUCCUCACUCCUACAGCUGCUGCUAUUAUUAUUCCUCACUCCGACAGCAGCUCCGGGUGCGGACUGCUCACCGAGCGGUCAGAAGAGGAAGAAAUCCUCUUUCCUUUUUCAGAACUACUGUUCUCGCAAAUCACAGAGAGCCCCGCCCAGAGGCGGGCACAGGUCUGAGCUGGCCAAUCAGAGUACACCCAUCCUAGGACUUAGAUCCAGGGUUACUCAUCACACACCGUGGGCCCUGGAGAGACAGCUGUGAACAGAAUAGACAAAGUCCCUGGCCUCAGGGAGUUUUUCUUCAUAGCUCCUGUGACAUCAUUCAGAGACGUGUGGGGAACUACCCAGUGGGGAGAUAGUAUCCUCAUUUCUCGAAGGCCUCUUGGAGACGGUGCUGGGCUGAGUGGUUCUCAGAGUCAGGUGGGCAUGUGAAUUCCCAGAGGCUAUGCUAGAAUGCUGAAGGCUGGGCCCCAGCCCAGAGCUGCUGAUAGUCAGAGGUGAGGUCUGUGCAUCCAUGCUUCUAACGUGUUCCCCAGUAAUGCCGAGGGAACCAUUACUGUUCCCCAGUAAUGCUGCUGGUCCAGGGAACCUGCUUUGACAAUCACUGCUUUACUGCAAGGAAUAAUUUCAAGCAUUUCAUAAACCCCAGUAAUAUUAUUUGUCAUGUUCUCCUUUUCUAGAGGAGACAUCAGUGCCCCAGUUUUAUUCUCUGUGCCUCCCAAUAACCUCAUCUCACAGCCUGUGCAUUCCAUGAGGAAAAAACCAAGCUGGAACACCAUUUUCAGCUCCUUCGGCCAGCGCCCAACAGUCACUAGGGCUUCCUUCAGCCCAGGCUCUGAGCUCAAACAGCUGACCUGAAUCCUGCUCACUCCCGCCUGUCCUCCUGUGAGACCCUGGACAGUGGCUUAACCUUCCUUAGCCUCUGUUUCCUUAUCCAAGAAGCAAGGCUAAGACUAGGACCCUGGGGACUUCCCUGGUGGUCCAGUGGCUAAGACGCCAAGCUCCCAAUGCAUGGGCCUGGGUUUGAUGCCUGGUCAGGGAACUAGACCCCACACGCCGCAACUAAGAGUUCACAUGCCACAGCUGAGAACCGAUGCAGCCAAAAAAAAAGACUAAGACCCUGGCACUGCAAGGCUAGAGCUCACUGAGAGAAACUCCCUUCUAGAACAGUCUGCCAGGGGCUAUGUGACAUCAAUAGCACCCUGAUGGAUAAAAGAAGCCCCAUUCUUCAACAAAAUAAAGCUGACAAAAAUCGGCCAUUUCAAAGCUAAGACCUAUUUUCUAUUUUCCAAGAGCCUGAACACCGGAGGCAGCUGGAGUUUCCCGGUUUCUGAAAAGCCCACCUGAAUGGAUCCUUUCACGAUACAAAUGUAUUUUGCCAGAUUGAGAAACUGAAGCUCAGGGCAAUAGGCUCUAAGCAAGGGGGAUAACUUCCCCAAGGUCACCCCGCUGGGACAUGGAAAAGCAGGACGCAUGGGUCUGUUUCUGGGUAAAAUCUCCAGCUCUUAACCACUGCUUCAGACUUUCUCCAAAAUCCCCUCUUUUCUCCUUUGCACCACACAGGCUGAGCCAGGGAGGGCUGGGUUCGAGUCUCUAGGACU
ensembl:lncRNA